rnacentral:rRNA from 1 species
CCAGCAGCUGCGGUAAUUCCAGCUCCAAUAGCGUAUAUUAAAGUUGUUGCGGUUAAAAAGCUCGUAGUUGGAUUUCUGCCGAGGACGACCGGUCCGCCCACUGGGUGUGCAUCUGGCUCGGCCUGGGCAUCUUCUUGGAGAACGUAUCUGCACUUCACUGUGUGGUGCGGUAUCCAGGACUUUUACUUUGAGGAAAUUAGAGUGUUUCAAGCAGGCACACGCCUUGAAUACGUUAGCAUGGAAUAAUAAGAUAGGACCUUGGUUCUAUUUUGUUGGUUUCUAGAACUGAGGUAAUGAUUAAUAGGGAUAGUUGGGGGCAUUAGUACUUAACUGUCAGAGGUGAAAUUCUCGGAUUUGUUAAAGACUAACUUAUGCGAAAGCAUUUGCCAAGGAUGUUUUCAUCAAUCAAGAACGAAAGU